ensembl:lncRNA
AUGGAAAUAAUCUUGAACGCUUUUCUUAAAUAUAAUAUUUUUAUUUAUAAAAUAGUUUAUUGCCAUUAUAUGUGUACAAUAAAUUUAAUAAUUAAGAAAUUUAUAAUUUAUGACAUAGAAAUUCAUUUAAGAACAGAUAACCCUAAAAUGUGUAUAGGACCACAAAAGACCCCAAAUAGCCAUAGCAAUCUUGAAAAACAAGAGCAAAAUUGGAGGUAUUACAGCCCCAGAUUUCAAGUUAUACUACAAAGCUGUAGUAAUCAAAGCCAGUAUGGUACUGUGCCAGUAUGGCACAAAAACAGAUGCAUAGAUCAAUGGGACAGAAUAGAAAGCCCAGACAUAAACCCAGAAUUAUAUGGUCAAUUAAUCUUCGACAAAGGAGGCAAGAAUAUGCAAUGGGAAAAAGUCUCUUCAACAAAUGGUAUUGGGAAAACUGGACCACUUUCUUACACCAUACACAAAAAUACAUUCAAAUGGAUUAAGGGCCUAAAUGUGAGAGACCUGAAACCAUAAAAAUCCUAGAAAAGAGUGCAAGCAGUAAUUUCUCUGACAUCAGCCAUAGCAACAUUUUUCUAGAUAUAUCUUCUGAGGUAAAGGAAACAAAAGCAAAAAUAAACUGUUGGGACUGCAUCAAAAUAAGCUGCACAGCAAGGAAACAGUCAACAAAACUAGAAGACAGCCUACUGAAUGGGAGAAGAUAUUUGCAAAUAACAAAUCCAAUAAAGGGUUAGUAUCCAAAAUAUAUAAAGAACUUAUACAAGUCAACACCAACCCCCCCCCCCACAAGUAAUCCAAUUUAAAAAUGGGCAGAAGACAUGAACAGGUAUUUCUCCAAAGAAGAGAUACCGAUGGCCAACAGAUGUGUGAAAAGAUGCUCAACAUCACUCACCAUCAGGGAAAUGCAAAUUGAAACCACAGUGAGAUAUCACCUCACACCUGUCAGAAUGGCUAAAAUUAAAAACAAGAAACAAGUGUUGACAAGGAUGUAGAAAAAAGGGAACCGUCAUGCACUGUUGGUGGCAAUGCAAACUGUGGAAGUUUGCAGCCACUGUGCAAAACAGCAUGGAGGUCCUCAAAAAGUUAAAAAUAGAAUUACCAUAUGAUCCAAUAAUUUCACUACUGGGUAUUUACCCAAAGAAUACAAAAACGCUAAUUCAAAAAGAUAUAUGUACCCCUAUGUUUAUUGCAGCAUUAUUUACAAUAGCCAAAUUAUGGAAGCAGCCCAAGUAGCCAUUGAUAGAUGAAUGGAUAAAGAAGAUGUGGUGUAUAUGAAUAUAUGUGGUGUAGAAUAUUACUCAGCAAUAGAAUAUUACUUAGCCAUAAAAAAGAAUGAAAUCUUGUCAUUUGCAACAACAUGGGUGGAUCUAGAGAGUAUAAUGCUAAGUGAAAUAAGUCAGAGAAAGACAAAUAGGAUAUGAUUUCAUUCAUCUGUGGAAUUUAAGAAACAAAAAGAACAAAGGAAAAAAAGGAGACAAACCAAAAAAUGGACCCUUAACUACAGAGAACAAACUGAUCAUUACCAGAGGGGAGGUGGAUGGGGGGAUUGAUACAGAUAAAGGGGAUUAAGAGUAUGCUCACCAUGAUGAGCACUGAGUAUAACAUUGUAUGUUAAUUGAAAAAAAAUUAUGUGUAUUUAUAUAUAUAUAUAUAUAUAUAUAUAUAUAAAUGUUCUGUUCUUA